CAAGACACAUUUGAGCAGAGUUGCUGGAGAAGAGAGCCAUCCCAGGAAAAGGACAUUCCUAUAGAGGAACAGCCACUGCAUAGGCCAUGGAGGAAUGUGAGAGUGCAAGGGAGAGUUAGAAGAAUUUCUACCUUGGUUUGAUGCUCCAGAGGCUACAUUCAGGAUGAAGAAUGGCUUUCCUUUACAAAAAGGGAACAGAAGUUCUGCAAAGGCAUGGGGAGAGAGGAAAGCUGGCAGAGCCCAGAUGCAUCUUUAGUUGGAUCACUUUUCAAAGAGCACUUACAGAUGUUGAGCAGGUAGAAGGAGUUUCCUUCAAGCCAUCCACACCCUCAAAAGUCUUUGUGAAAUUCAAAGGAGUUCACACUCAGCUUGCAGACUGCUGGGUUCAAUCAGCCCUCGAGGUCCUGUGUGUCAUAGCAGCUUCCCAGAGGAGGACUGAAGGACCAUGGUCCAGUCCAACUUCUAUCGACAACUUAGGGUGGUCCAUGAAAGCCUGGGAUCUUAAGACAGGAUCUCACCUUUGUCACUUCCUGGAGAUGUGAGUAUGUACAAGACACUUUACCUCUCCACAUCUCACUCUCCUUAUCUGUAAAAUGGGAUAAUCAAAACCCUAACUUGUCUCACCUUUAUGGGAAUAAGUAAGGUAGUGCACUGAGCACAUGAGGCCUGGAUUCUAGGAAGUGAUUUCUUUGCUCUUCUAAAUUUAUUAUUCAACCUCACCAUUAGACAAAUCAGGGAAACUGAGGCUCAGAGAACUGAGCAUCUUUCAAGUGCUGGAGAGUGUGCUUGGAGAUGUGUGUGCCUUAUCCAAUUUGAUUCUCACAGCACUUUUGGCAAUAGAUGUUCCUGCCCUCAUGUUGAAGAUGGAUAAACUGAGACACAUAACUUUUUCAUUGUGGUUAUCUUCCCCAAGAUGGAUUUAAGUGGCUGUGAUAGGACAAAGGGAGCUUUGCUCCUUUAUUAAUCUGUUUGGGCUGCUGUAACAGAACAUAGACUGAGGAAUGUUUGAAGAACAGAAGUUUAUUCCUCACAGUUCUGGAGGCUGGGAAGUCAAAGAUCAAAGUGAUAGCAGGUCUGUUUUCUGGUGAGGGCUGCUCUCUGCUUCCAAGAUGGUGCCCUGAAUGCUGCAUCCUCCAGAGGGAAAGAAUGCUGUGUUUUCAUAUGGCAGAAGGCAGAAGGGCAAAAGGGUCAAACUCCCUGCAUCAAGCCCUUUAAUAAGGGCACCUAAUCCCAUUCCUGAGGACAGAGUCCUCGUGACUGAAUCAUCCCCCAAACUCCACACUUUCCAAUGCUGUCACAUUGGGAAUUAAUUUUCAACAUGAAUGUUAGAGAGAACAAAAGCAUUGAAGCCAUAUCUAUUCUCCUUCACCACCCACCCUCUUUGCUUUUGACUUUGGAGUUUACAGAACUGCACGCACAGGCAUCAUUUGUGAGCAUGGUCAUCAUAACCACCUUGGCAGAAGCUGUGUUUUGUAGAGGAAAAUAUCGUGACUCAGAGAAGAAAAGAAAUACACCCUGGUUUAUAUUGAGG
rnacentral:lncRNA from 10 species